rnacentral:lncRNA from 1 species
UGUGUGUGCAAUCUUUUAAUUAAAAUGUACUUAAAAAGAUUUUAAAUACUUCAGUGUUUCAAACAGAUGUGCAAAGGUCAAUACUUUUACACCUCAAUUAAAACAAUAUCCAUGUGUAUCUGGCUCUAAGCAAUUCGCAGUCAUCAACACAAUUAGUCAACUUUAUUUUACAUGCAGAUUAAACCCACUUAAGUUUACAAAUGUAUACACAAAAGUUUUAAAAACCUGAAACAAAACCACAUUAACAAGAUGCUCCGCAGGGCGCAGCUUUAUACGACCGCAGAGGUUGAACCCUGAACGGUUGGGGCAAGUAUGGACACAACAUUCAAGCUGGAUUCAGCUCUAAAUUUGGAUUGUGAUUAAAUAGUUGACACAGCAUAGGUUUCUGACACAGAAUGAAUGUGGUCUAAUGAACUUAAAAAAAAAUGUUUGCCUUUGAGCAAUUCACUAUGCUGUUGAAUAUUAAUCCUCUCAAAAAAAUGUUUGAAGAAAUUUUCUUUUUAUUUAUGAAAUCUGAAAUGAAAAAAAUUGACCCUCCAAUUUUUUUUUUUUCACAUCCCCCUUUCCCUUAUUUCAAAACUGAUCUCAAUUCAAAUUUCUAAUGAAGUUUGCAACAAUAACUACUCAUUUAAAUACAUCAUAAAAUAUUAAAAUGUAAAAAAGUGCUU